rnacentral:rRNA from 1 species
AACGAACGCUGGCGGCAGGCCUAACACAUGCAAGUCGAGCGAGGACUUCGGUCCUAGCGGCGGACGGGUGAGUAACGCGUGGGAACGUGCCCUUUGGUACGGAAUAGCCCCGGGAAACUGGGAGUAAUACCGUAUGGUGUCUUCGGACUAAAGAUUUAUCGCCAAAGGAUCGGCCCGCGUUGGAUUAGGUAGUUGGUGGGGUAAUGGCCUACCAAGCCGACGAUCCAUAGCUGGUUUGAGAGGAUGAUCAGCCACACUGGGACUGAGACACGGCCCAGACUCCUACGGGAGGCAGCAGUGGGGAAUCUUAGACAAUGGGGGCAACCCUGAUCUAGCCAUGCCGCGUGAGUGAUGAAGGCCCUAGGGUUGUAAAGCUUUUUCAGCUGGGAAGAUAAUGACGGUACCAGCAGAAGAAGCCCCGGCUAACUCCGUG